GCAGCUCACUCUAGCUCAGUCUACACCUUCACAACCCAGUUAUCCAGCUAGAAAAGGCAACCAAAGCAAUGAAAUUUUCUUUGCAUUUGGGAGAAAGAACACUUGGAACCAGUGUCUGCAAAAGGGGACCAAAGGGACCUGUUCUAUAUGCAGGCGAGCUGGGAGAAUGAAGUGUGUAUGCUGUUGAGGAGCAGAGGAGCAGCUGAGUGUGAGAGGAGCAGCUGAGUAUGAAAGGAGCAGCUGAAUGUAGCCCAAUGCUGAGUCGGGAGAGAGUCUCUUUCUCAUUAGGCAGCACCUCCCAAUCAAACAGCAUCACAAGGACUUCUGGGAUCUUCACCCCAAACCAGGACACACAGAGAGAAAAGCCGAGGUCAGAGGGAAAACACAGAGGGAAGAAUCAGAUGUCCCAGGAAGCUUUGACAGCCUCGGGACAACAACAACAACAAAAUGUAAUUAAAUCUCUUCUCAGUCCAAAAUGUCAGCAUGGAAGAGGACAGGCUGUGAUCAUUGUAAACAGAAGAAUAAUCUACUCAACAAAGUCCUCAAAAUCCCGCACCCUCCGCCUCUCGAUGCCAGAGUCCUCCCUUCCUAGAGACUGCACUCACGUGGAGUGAUUUUCCUGUCUGCUUAGCUCUGCCUGCCACCUCCACUACAAAGGCCAUGGUUCAGAAACCACAAUGGCUGUGUUUGUGAUACGGAGAGUAAUGAAGCAUGCGGUGGAUGAGUGAGUGUAUGAGCGCACCAGGUCUCACUCAACUGUAUUUCAGGUCUUUCAUCUGAAGCCGGCGCUAACUUCUGCUGUAUAACAAGUACCCAGAGUGUAAUACCACGAGACAAUGACCACUGGAAUUUGUAAUUCCAUUACUUUUAACCUGGUUUGAACUCAAUUCCAUUAGAGUCUUCCAGAUUGAACUAAUGUCACCAUCUGGCUCCGAACGCUCUGGACUCAUUAAAUGAACUGCAGUAAUAAAAGCAAUUGCAGAUGAGCUGAGGAGAUGAAGGGAACAACAGCAUCCUGUUGCCAGCACUGAGCUAUUGAUUUUGCUUGACGUUUGCUGGGGUGAGGGAGGGGGGACCACUGCAUUUCUCAGAUUCUCUUGGCUAUAAUUAAGUGUUAGCACCAGGCGUGCAGGGUGGGCUCUGAUGGAAGCUAGAAAGCAAUGACUUUUAAAAUGCCCCUGCAGAAUUCCAUCAUGUCUUGUAAACCCAGAAGAUUAAA